rnacentral:lncRNA from 10 species
GUUACCACCUCUGAGCGGCGACUGGGCCGGAACGGCUGGAGUUCUCGGGUGCCCAGCCGGGCGCUCCCUCAGCCCAGUUCGCCACGUCAGCGAGCGGCCAGAGCCACAGAUGAUGACUGAGUCUCCGAGGCCUCUCGGUCUUUUUCUAUUUUAACAGGGGCGCGUGCAGAGCGUGGUAAGUGGGAGGGGCUUCGUGUCAAAAGUAAAAGAACCCAGUCGGUGCCACAGGCCCCGCUGUGCUGUGCUGGCUACAAACCCGGCCGGGGCUGCACUGCUUGGCCAGGCGCCCCCCCGCGCCGCCCGGUCCCGCCGCACCCUAGGCAGCUGCCUUGCCACCGUGUGACCCGGGAAGUCUGCGCCUCCAGCUUCACUCACAAGCCAGUAGCUCCAGAAACUAGUCCUGGGACCUUACACCUUGAGACCAGUUUUUAGACUUUGGCGCCUGUCACCUACUGUAGAUGAUGCGUUUUAUAUCGCAACCGAGUACAUAACGUCCAGCAGAACCACGUUCUUACUAUGUAAUGCACUUAAAAACGCUGGUGGCAGCUCACUAUAUUGGAUUAGCUUCACCAUCCGCUGCUGGGCCGUCUCCUUUCUGCUUAGGAAGGAAGUUGAAAACAUCAAAAGUGCACGGCGCGCGCUUCUGUGGUCCCAGCUACUCGGAAGACCGAGGUGGGAGGAUCUCUUGAGACCAGGGCUUCCAGACCAGCCUGGGCACCGUGGCGAGACUCCGUCUCUUUAAAUAAAUAGCAAUCAUGCAGGCAGUAGGAAAAUAAACAAAAGAGGAAAAACUAUCUUGUUCCAAGUCACAGUCCAGGCCGGGCGCGGUGGCUCACUCCUGUAAUCCCCACACUUUGAGAAGCCGAGGCGGGUGGUUCACCCGAGGUCAGGAGUUCAGACCAGCCUAACAUAGCGAAACCUCGUCUCUACUAAAAAUACAAAAUUAGCCGGGCAUGGUGGCCCAUGCCUGUAAUCCCAAUUACUUGGGAGGCUGAGGCAGGAUAAUCGCUUGAACCCGGGAGGUGUAGGUUGCAGUGAGUCAAGAUCGCGCCAUUGCACUCCAGCCUGGGCAACAAGAGCGAAACUCUAUCUCAAACAAAAAGUCACGGUCCAAAUCAGUACCCUAAGUCAGGUCCCUGAACUCGUCAAUGCCAAGCCAGCCAUUCCACCUUAAGGAACUCUGGUUCCAUCCCCAGACUCAACACAAGCCCAAGAAUAAGCAGAUUCCACCCAAUUCUUCAACAGUCCCUUCCCUCGCGUGUUCCAGUUCUGACCUGCAGGAGCAGGGCAGGGAAAAAACCAAAACCAGGAUUCAAACAUUGACAAACUAACAAGAAGCAUCAACCCCAAGAUAGUUCAAAGCCUCUGAGAUAUUUGAAUGAAGCAAACCCUAACAGUUCAGCUGUCAAUACCGAAAAAGUACCAAAAACUUUAAGCAAAUAAUGUUUAUUUUUAUAUUGAUGAUACACUUAAUAUAUAUGUGGAUUCAAGGUACAAAAUUCAUGUACAAGAGUUCACACCUGAUGAAUGUAGACACAUUCCUAGAGAACAUUUAUCAAUGUGAAAAUUUCUUUAAUACACUGACAACAAAAAUCAAAUAUUCUCUAAUCUCGUUAUUCAAUAAACAUCAAAACAACGUUUCAGUUUUCAUCCUCUAGUACUGAAGUGCCCUCAAGGUGGUAGGCACUGUAUAGCAGGAGAAAACAUUGGAAAGCCUACUGAAUCCGCUCUGCAGAAUCACAGUGUUUACUCUGAAAUUCAUUUAGUGAAGUAGUGGAAGGCUAUCUUUUAUGACAAAUCACAUCUCAUACAAGAGUCAAAAGUGAUGAACUCAAGAAAAUAAAAUGUUUCAAGAACUUCUCAAUUUCUAAAAUCUAUGGAGUAUUAACCAUAACAGACAAAGAAGAAAAAGGCUGCUGGAAAGGAAGAAAAAAACAUCCUGUUUAAGAGAACGUAUGGCUUAAGCAAUUUAGAACACAACUGACAAGACUUUUACAAUACCACAAAUGUUCAAGUCAAAUGAUAGUGACAGUAUAAUUUUCCCCUUAGUCAUUGGUAGUAAAUAGCCCCUUCAAAAUUUAUUCUACUGUUAACACAUAUAAAAACUAUGAAUCCAAACAGUUUUGCUAACGGGGCUGAGUUGAUGGAUUUUUUUCUAAAGUAUUAACUCACAAUAUCCAAAUAUUAAUACAAAUGAACGACAAGAUUGUUUCAAAGAUUACAGUGAUUUGUGAAUAGCUAAAUAGGCAACCAAAUAGCUUCAUUAUUUGCACGACAGAUUAGCAGCACUUGGAUAAGAAUUGUUACAUGAAAAAUAUUGUGCUUCAGUCUCUUGAGGAGAGCUAAUAUAACUCUAUAAUCCCUAUAGUGUUAAAAUUCUAUAACAUUUCAGUUACAGACAAGCACAAUUGUUAAAAAGUAUUUCACACCACUAGAAAAUCGAGUAAUUAUAUCCUCCAAAUGAAUUACUUCUAUGAUUUAAACAAGUGCAUUUCUGCCUAAUAAUCAGAAUGUAGACAAUAAGUUCAGCAUUAUUUUCAAGGGAAAAAGAUCAAACAUAACUUAUUUUAACUCCUAUUUGAUUAUCUUAACCUUUAGUGAUGAUUAGAACUUAAAAAAGGGAAACUCAACCUUCCAAUGGAAACUGCUCAGAGGAAAUAAUAAAGUGUCCUGAAAUUACAAUAAUUCUUAGCACAAAGUAAAAAGUGAUUUAUAACUGCUUCAUCUGAUUCAAUGAUUAAUGAAAUCACUAUUUAUACUGGUGCUACACAACGAAGAUAACCUAUAUGGAUAAGUUAUUUUACUUGUAAACUCUACUAUGAAAAUGUUAGGACUUUGUAUUUGCCUUUCCUAUUAUCUAAGAUGUUUCUACCUCAACUGGAAGAAUCAUCCAAAAUCUAAAGGUUUCUCUGAUUGUUGAACAGCAAGGUUUAUUAAAAAUAAGCAAAAAAGUUGGAGAACUAGCCAUAUGGUCUAUGUGGCAAAAGGAAUGCAUUCAGAUAACUAUAAAAAGCCACAUAAAUCAAGUUCUAGAUUAUUGUACUGAACCAUUAGAAGGUCUUUUUAAUGAUACAGUAACAAGUUAACAAAAACCAUUCUUCAGGAAAUAGUAAUAAAAAUUCCUUUUUUUUUUUUUUUUGAGAAUGAGUCUUGCUCUGUCACCCAGACUGGAGUGCAAUGGCACGAUCUCGGCUCACUGCAACCUCCGCCUCCCAGGUUACAAGCAGUUCUCCUGCCUCAGCCUCCCAAGUAGCUGGGAUUACAGGCGCACACCACCAUGCCUGGCUAAUUUUUUUUUUUUUUUUUUUUUUUUUGUAUUUUAGUAGCGACAGGGUUUCACUGUAUUGCCCAGACUGGUCUCCAACUCCUGAGUAAUAAAAAUUCUUAUUGUGCUAAAACACUAAGCAAUUUUUCCUGCAGAUUUUUAAUUUACCACAGUACAUAGUUUUAAUUUAGAAAAAAAGCAAUUAGUAGCAUGCUUCUUUAAGGGUGGAAAUAAGCUUUUUAAAAAUACAGUGGUUAUCCCUCUAUGGUUUGGAAGUAUUUACUUUUGGGAUUCUCAUGUAUGAUCAUUUCAAAUUUUAUACUUAUUCAUACUGAUUUCAUGUUUGAGAAAAUUUAUGGUUCAAAUUGUAAUGUUUACAAAUCUCAACUUUUAAUCAUGGCAAAGUGGACAUUCACAACAGCUUCAGAAGAGAAAAGAAAAUCAGUGAUAUAACAAACAUUUAAGUAUCAUUUACGGCAGCCCUAUAAGAAGGCUAGCCAUAAUUCCCUAUUUCAUUCUGAAAGUGAUAUCCUAUUAGCUUUCAUUCCAUAAGCCUAGGAGAAAAGUAUAAAACCUAAAAUUACCUAUGUCUUAAACAAUAUUACACCUAAAAAGAUGAUUGUCGUAGUAGACAGACUGGAAUUGUCCACCAAAAUAGGAAAUUGAUACCCAAUUUAUAGUCUAUGAUGAAAUUUAGGCUUGAAUAAGUGAGUUUGUAGUUUUAAUAUAAUGUACUUCAAACUAUUAAAAAAACUGAGUCUAUUGUCCAAGUAUGUUUAAACAUGGCACUGGUUAAAGUAGUCUGAUAACUAUUAAAAAGAAUUUUUUUUAGGCCGGCCACAGUGGCUCACACCUGUAAUCCCAGCACUUUGGGAGGCCGAGGCGGGUGGAUCACUUGAGGUCAGGAGUUCGAGACCAACCUGGCCAACAUGGUGAAACCCCAUCUCUACUAAAAAUACAAAAUUAGCUGGUCGUGGUGGCACACGCCUGUAAUCCCAGCUACUUGGGAGGCUGAGGCAGGAGAAUCUCUUGAACCCAGGAGGCGGAGGUUGCAGUGAGCUGAGAUCGCGCCAUUGCAUUCCAGCCUGGGCAACGAGCAAAACUCCAUCUCAAAAAAAAAAAAAUUAUUAAUUUUUAAAACCACAAAAGAAAUUAACAAAAAUAUUUUAAAAUUAAGAAUGGUGCUUCAAUCAGUUAUUAAAUUAGUUAUACUUAAUACAGUUCUCUUUAUCCAAUUAAAGGCAUAUCACCCUACAUCAUCCUGACACCCUUCCCGUCAAUAGGUGAUUGAUUCCAUUCACACAUCAAUUAUUUUUCCUUAAACACAAGGCAUGCUUAAGUCUUUUUGUUCAAAACUCAGUGAAGCUGGAACAUAGUGUAGUAUUAGGCUUUGAAAUUCUAGUUUGAGGAAGAUGAAUCACUUUUUUUUUUAAGUGGUCCCAUUAUCCAGGAAAGACUGAGAGGUACAGCAAAAAUAGUUGUAAAGUAUCAAUGUAUAAGAGCGCAGGAGACUGGGGGAAAGGGCUGGGUUUUCUAAGCAAGUGUUACCUUAUUCACCCUCAAAGUUAUUGGCUUUACAACGGUUGGGGUCAGAGGUCACAUUCACAAUGUCAAGUGUUUUCUACUGUACUUUUGAUUACCACUACUGUCCUCAAAUUAAUAUCCACAAGGAGCCUGAGUCAGUUCCAUGAAUUUUAAAUGGUAUAAUAUCUGCUCUACUACUCUCCAGUGCAAAAACAAUGAUUUGGUUAUUCAAACAACAAACCAUCAGAUCCUAUGGAUGUUUUCACUGAUUUUUCAGAAAUAAUAAAUUACCAAAUUUUAAUAUUUAUUCAAGAAAAAUGCUGUUAUAAUUAUUUCUGAAUUUAAUACUAUAAUUGAAAAGUCUUAUGAAUAGUUGGCUGUUUUAUUUAAAAUAUAAUGAAUCAGCAAAUGUAACAUUUUUUUGGGUGGUAAAACAGACUCCUGAGAUAAUUUCUCUAUUUUAAGAUAAUAUUGGAUCAGAUAGAUUUAAUCUUCCAAAGAAUACGGUGUAAAAAGUUGCUUUGCAGUUAUAUUUUAUCAUGCAAAAAUAACCUCUACUUAAUUUCUGCAGUGAAUGUAUUUAAGUGUAUAUUAAACAUCUCCUACACUCUUUCAUGCAAAUAAAUAUGUCAACUGAAGUAACCAAACAUUGAUACUUGGCAACAUUCUAUAGGUUCACAAAUUGGCAUUGCACGUAUUUACUAUCCUCUUAUCCUCCCCAACCCUAUCAUCCUUGGGAGAGGUUUGAAGGCCCAGAUUUUUAUAGCACACCAUGCAUCUAAUAUUAAAAACUCUACUUCAUGUGCGAAUAUAUCAUCAACUUGCAGAACACAAGUGGUCUCAUAGAGACACAGCAAUACGAGUGAAGGCAUUUUAUUCAGUGGAAGCAUUUUCUCAGAUGAGCCUACUCACCUUUGAUAUGCAAGUCCAGUAAGAAAAAAUCUGUAGCCGGAAAUGCCAAGACAGGACUAAAUUAAUCAUAGCUGCUGCAAAUAUACAAAUUAACAACCUCCCGUUCCUCACUAAAUCCUAUCCUACUUAGGUUAGGCCAUCCCUUAGCUAAUGCCCCCUUUUCUGCCUCAUAGAGACACAUAAAACACUGAUGAAAAAAGAAUUGUUCCAAAAUCAAAAUUCAGUAUGAGGCAUAAAAAUGACAACUGGGAAUAUAUUUCCCCUAUUUAAUGGACAUUUUCCUAUGUUUUUAAAUGUGAUUAAAGCAAUUUUUUUCCACAGCCUCUCUAUUAAGCCCCAAUAUACAUAAUUUACUACUCAGUAAUAAUACUUAAAUAUGGAUCAAGAAAAUAAAGGACUACUACAGCCUAAGAAUCUGCUGGUGUCUCAGUUUCACAUACUUAGGUUUUUCAGGUUAUAUCACUAAUUUAUCAUCAGUUUAAAUAAAAAUUUGCAGGUGAUUUUAAAGCUAAGAAUAAAUAUCUAGCUUUCUGUUAAGAUCUUCAUAUCCUAAUUUCAACUCCAAAUUAGCCCAUUUUAUCCAAACACAAGCCUCUCAAAAUAGAGGCUUAUGAAUGAGAUACAGCCACAACCUAAUUACAGCAGCAUGAACAAUGCCACUAGGAUGUCCUCACAGAACUUAAAUAAAUUCAGCCCACAAUGGGUAUGGGUACAUAAUAUACACAUACUGUAUCACUGCAUACCAAUAUAUUUACAAAUAUGUAUACAUAUAUACAAAAAGUAUACACAGAGAUUGCAUGUAGCAUCACAAAAAUAUACAUAUGCCAUUACAAAUAAAAUAAGAAUUUCAAAUAAAUAAGGUCAACAAAAGAGCCCUCAAGGUAAAUACCCUCUAUGAUUUCCAAACACACACAGGAACAUAUACACCCAAAACAUCACCAGGAGACUCAUAGCAUUCAUAUUCAUAUCAAAUCUUUUACUCAGGGUGGGGAGGUGGUUUUGAAUCACUGGCAAUGGCCAAAUUAGCAGACCUUGGUACCUGACUAUAUUUCCAGUCCAGAGUGUUCUCUGUAUAUCAGGCUGAUUACAAGUCUCCAUAAAUAAAAUUUUUCAGCUGGGUCCAAACUGCUUCUCAGAGACAGAAAGUUACUAUAUCACACAUGUCAGAGAUUAAACUUGGAGGAGAGUGCUAAAGAAAGCUCCAUAAUACCUAAUACAUAAAUCCGAUUUGUCGCUUUUCCCAUUAUCCUGACUAAAUCAGUAUAAUUACGACAUAAUCUGUUUCAGGGAAUUCUAUUGCACAAAGGAAAUAAAGGGCAGUAGCCAGAAGUUGGAGGGGAGGGAACCACCCGGAUCCUCUAUCAGGAAAACUCCAGCCACAAUUGGAUUGCACUUUGCUUCUGAAAUCCUGAAACGUUUCAAUUUGGUAAAAAUAAAGAGGGUACAAUAAAUUCUGUGCUUUGAAAGGUUUGAGAGCACCACUUUCUAAGAGAAACACACACAUGCAAAUGAAGAAUACAUCCUGGCUAGAAUAAAAGAUAAAAUGUCAGAUUUGUGGAUUUUUACAAUAAAAAUUUGAUACUGUUUUGUGCCAAAAUACAAAUCCCUAAUUAUUCUUUCUUGUUCAUUAUAGAAAGCAGUCUGAGCUACUGAGAAGACUGGGCUGAGAUGAGGAGAUCUGAGUUUUAGUUCUAGCUCUAUCACUAUGAAUAGCUUUUUGGGUCUCAGCUUUCUCUUCUGUAAAAUAGAGAAGAUAGUUGCUUUACCAACUUCAGAAAUAUACAGAUAAAGAAAGAGAAAAUUCCACUGUGCUUCAUUUUGUUUUGUGUAUAACUGACUUCUUGCAGUCUUAUGCUUUCUAUGUUGUUUACAGUGAUAGUUAAGAGAGAUGAGAGACUAUCAGAAUCUCCAGGGACAGUUUGUGCAAUUUGAAAACAAAGGAGUGCUUUUUCCCUUUGCUUUGCUCUGUUCUUAGUUCCAAUAUUUAAAUUUUUAUGAAUUAUAAAAUUAAAUACAUUAGGGUUUAAAUUUUUUUAUAAAGGGCAGGUGGUAUGCAUUUUUAAAAAAUGAAAUUCUUUGCCACUAUCAUCAGCUCAAGCCCAUUGGGCAACUGUCCUUUUAGAUAAUUCUUCUCCCUUGAUUAAAGAAAUACAGAAGCUGGGUAAGGUACAAGGAGGAUUUAUUAAACUGUAUGUUUAGGCUGGGCGUGGUGGCUCAUGCCUGUAAUCCCAGCACUUUGGGAGGCCGAGGCCAACGGAUCACCUCAAAUCAGGAGUUCGAGACCAGCCUGACCAACAUGGUGAAACCCCAUCUCAAAACACAAAAUUAGCUGGGUGUGGUGGCACAUGCCUGUAAUCCCAGCUACUGGGGAGGCUGAGGCAGGAGAAUCACUUGAAACUGGAAGGUGGAGGUUGCAGUGAGCUGAGAUCCUGCCACCACACUGCAGCCUGAGUAACAAGAGUGAAACUCCGUCUCAAAAACAAAAAACAAAAAAACUAUGUUUAAAACUUUCAUAAAAAGAAAGAAAAGGCAAAGUGUUCAUGCAAAUGUGACCUUCCUAAUGAAGCCUACCCUGAUCAUCACUUUUUCUUUUCUUUUUUUCCAGAGACGAGGUCUUGCUUUGCCAUCCAGGCUGGAGUGCAGUGGUGCAAUCACAGCUCACUGCAGCCACAAACUCCUGGGCUCAAGUGACCCUCCCACCUCGGCCUCCCAGGUAGCUGGGACUAAUAGGGUCAUGCCACCAUGCCCUGCUUGAUCACUCUUUUAAACAUUGUUCUUCUCUUAAGAAAACAAACAAAAGAUUUACCUUACCAUAAUCUACACUUUUCCAUCCUACUUAACAUUUUCUAACAUAAAUUACUUAUGUUUAUUGCCUUACUCCUUCUACUAGAAUGUAAGCUUCAUGAACAUGAGGAUUUUUAAGUCUAUUUUGUUUGCUUCCCCAAUGCCCAGAAGAAAAUCUGGAGUAUAGUCUUUGUUUAAUACGCAUUUUUUUGAAGGCAUCAAUGAAACAAUAACAUUUUCCAGCACAGUUUUCCUCUCUUUGAAGAUUCAAGAUCACUUCAGUCCACUUUAGAUUUUUAACUACCAGUAAGGAAUUACACUAUUAGCUUAAGGGGCAACAUCAUAAGGGUCAAUGUUGUGAUUUCUAAGACCCUCAUUUUUAGACAAGCAUGUUUCUAAUCAUAAAAGCUCUAAUUUCCUCAGGAGAGUCUCUGUCUGUACUAGUUUCUAAAACAGCUAAGUGGGACCCAGAUUUUCUUGAACAAAAUCUAGGUAAAUAUGACUUACAAAAGAAAAGGUUGUGUACACUACAAACAGGGUAAAUAGUUCUCUUGGUGGUUGGAGUGGGGAAAUCAAUAUUUUUGGAACCAAGAGUCCAAAUUACAGAAUCAGAGUUGGAGAAGACCUGGGCCAACCUCUUCAUUUUACAGAUGAGAGUGCUAACAAGCAGAGACAUGAAGACAGUUGUCAAAGGGCAUAACGCUUAAGUUACCAGGAAAGCCAGGACUAGAACUUAGGUCUCCUAGUUCUCAGACCAGUGUUCUUUAUGCUUAACGGGGGAGGAUAAAGCUCAGAACAGUAAAUACUAUUUUAAACAUUAGAGGACAGGAAACUCUGUGUUGGUAGGAGCAUAACUGGCACAGGACUUAAGGGGAAUUGAAACAAGAGGUCAGAAAACCGAAGAUAGUCUAUUGCUGUAGUUCAAUGAACACUGUUACUAAAGGAAAGCUAUGAAGUUUAUUAAGAUACUGAAAAAAAAGGAAAGCAGUCUUUACCUGAAAAUGAAAACCCACUAGCAAAGGAAAUCUUUCCAGGGUAACUUUUCCCAAGCUUUCUGAAAUACUGUUUGAAAGAACAAACAAAAAAAUUUUUAAAAAGUAAACAGGCCAGGUACAGUGGCUCACACCUGUAAUCCUAGCACUUUGGGAGGUUGAGGCAGGAGGAUCACUUGAGCCCAGGAGUUUGAGGCCAGCCUGCUCAACAAAGUGAGACCAUGUCUCUACAAAAAAUUAAAAAAUAAAGAAAAUUAGCCAGGCAUGGUGGCGCAUGCCUGUAGUCCCAGCUACUUGGGAGGCUGAGGUGAGAAGAUUGCCUGAAUCCAGGAAUUUGAGGCUGCAGUGAGCCAUGAAUGUACCGCUGCACCCCAACCUGGGCAACAAAGCAAGACUCUGUCUCUUAAAAAAAAAAAAAAAAAAAAGUAAAAUACUCCCCAAGUCCCCAAACCCCAAAAACAGUAACUUUGGACUUCAGGUUUGAAAAAUCAGCAAAUCAAAGCAGGAAUGGGAAUAACUUAGACCCAAAUUAGUCUCUAUGCCAGAAAUGAAAACCAAGUUAAAAAUAAUAGCCAGGUGCGGUGGCUCACGCCUGUAAUCCCAGCACUUUGGGAGGCUGAGGCAGGCAGAUCACAAGGUCAGGAGUUUGAGACCAGCCUGACCAACAUGGUGAAACCCCGUCUCUACUAAAAAUACAAAAAUUAGCCAGGCAUGGUGGCGGGCACCUGUAAUCCCAGCUACUCGGGAGGCUGAGGCAGGAAAAUUGCUUGAACCUGGGAGGCGGAGGUUGCAGUGAGCCGAGAUAGCCCCACUGCACUCCAACCUGGGCAACAAAAGCAAGACUCUGUUUCAAAAAAAAUAAAUAAAUUUAGAGUAUAAUUUACCUAGGGCCAUGGGAAAGAGAUAUCAAAAGCAAUCAGCUCACUUCUCCUGGGACUGCCAGAUGUGAUCCUGUACAGAAAAUUAGGUAUAAGGCCUUCUCAUUCAUAGAUUUCUGAAAUUGAAUGCUGCAUAAUCAAAAAGGAGGGAGGACUUCAUAGCAAGUGACUGUGAAAUUAUAAAGGGAAUGACAGGGAAGGAAAACACAAAAAAGAAAAAUCUUUAUAAUAUACACUGAGUCCUAUUUAAGAUAAUAAAAAUUUUGUGCAUGAAUAUAAAAUACUAAAUACAGGGAAUGUUAAUAAAUCUUAUUUCCAAAUUACCAAUGCAAAAUCAACUUACAUUUUAGGUUUCAUAACACCCAGUUACCCCUUACCAAAAUUUAAAACAUCUAUGACUUUGAAGUCUCAUAAAUUUGAAUGAGGCAAAAAAUUAAAACUUUAUGUCACAGACAUCAAUCCAGUCUUUAAAUGUGAUCUCAUAAACCAAGAGUUUAAAUAGAAUUCCUAUUGGAGACAUUGUAUUAUGAAACCAAUGACAUGGUUUUUUGACUAAAAUAUUUCAAAGUUGUUUCCUUUUUCAUUUCCAGCAUUCACAGACUACAAAGAAAAUAUGCAAAUAAAUCUCAUAAUACUCAUACAUUCCAAGUAAUAUUACCACCUCAAGUCCUCAAUCAAGAUGUAGCUUUCAGAUGCAAUUCAAUCCAAUUUCUGAAAUUAUGACAGUAUUGAAAGAAAUUAAAUGAUUUCAAAAAACUGGCUUGAUCAUGUUUCAAAGGAUCAAACAUUUUUCUACCAGCUAAGUUGGAAUGAGAAAAAAUAUAUUAUGGAGGGACUCUGUUCUUGAUUUUCAGUAGUCCAUGGUGGCUAGCUUCAUCAUUAUGAACCAUUACAUAUUUCCAAAUCCAGACAUUUAACUUAGGUCCAAGUAUAAGAGUUGGAUUUACCUCAUUAUACAAAAAUAAAUGAUUUACUCUUCUCAGGGUGAGAAUAGUGACUAUUUGAGUGUAGGAUUAGAAGUUGGAGGUAAAUAUCCAUCCCUCAAAAUCAAAAAAUAAAAAUUCCAAGGUUAAGAUUUUAAAAGACCUGAAAGGUUGCAUUUUAAAACAGUUACCCUAAAAGUGUGAACAUUUUUUUGUUUGUUUUUAAAAUGGUGGCCCUAAAUUAAAAAAUAAAAACUAAGUAACACCACUAUGUGUCUUAUCACGUUAGAAAACUGCACCAUUUAAAAUUUGUGGAAAAUGAAAACUUGUUUCGACAACAGGGUUUUUGUUUUAAUAGUCAUCAAUGGUAUUCUCAAAGAACACGUUUCGAACAUCCAGAAUGGAUGC